GUCUUCGUCGCGUCACCUUCCGUGCGGGGAAAAAAAAGAAAGAAUUCAGCCAGGCAAUCCCAAAGGAAGGGGAAGGGAUUGGAAAGCUAGGGUUUUCGCCAUGGCCGUCGCCCACCUCGAGCUCGAAUCCAUUCUUGCCACGCUCUCCUCCUAGCUUCCGCAUCUGGCAUCCCCACAAAAGGAGCCGCCCGCUUUGAUUCCCCUCCCCCAUUCGAGGGUUUCCCUCCCCUCCCCUUCCCUUCCCCCAAAUCGAAUCGCCGCAUUGCCGGCCGAGCAAGCAACCUACCCACCCGCCCGCCCGCCUUCAAGACAGCGCUGGCGAUCCAGCAGGCGGCGAGGGCGGCGGAGGCGGCCGGAUAAUCAAUGUGUCCGCUGUGCUCCGUGCACCGCUGGUCGCGCCGCGUCGCCACCAUGCUCCCGUGGCUCGUCAUCCCCCUCAUCGCCAUCUGGGCCAUCACCCAGCUGCUGCUCCCGGCCGCCUACCGCUUCGAGGUCACCUCCCCGCGCCUCGCCUGCGUCUCCGUCCUCCUCCUUACCCUCUUCUGGUAUGAGAUCCUCCUCCCGCGCCUCUCCCUCUGGCGCGCCCGCCGCUCCGCGCGCCUCCGCGAGGAGCGCCGCGCCCACGCCCUCGAGCUCCACAAGCUCCGGAAGACCGCCACCCGCCGCUGCCGCAACUGCAGCAACCCCUACAGGGACCAGAACCCCGGUGGUGGCAAGUUCAUGUGCUCCUACUGUGGCCAUGUCUCCAAGCGCCCCGUGCUAGACCUUAAUUCAGCCGGGAAGGUGCCCAUCGGAUGGCCUUGCUCUCAGGAUUGUGGAUGCUGGCUCGACCUGCGCUGCUCCUCCAGCAAUAACAACUCCUUCUUGGCAUUCUCAUGGCGCCUGCUGUCAUCCUUUUCCUCGACAGUAGUGAGCUGGUUCUUGAGGAAGAUAUUCAGAUUUACAUCGUCAGGGGAUGGUGAGGGCUUGGGCCCAGAUGGUAAAAGGUUGGCAAAGAGAGGGGAGAAUGUUGGAAAAGCUGAGGAGAGCAGGGUCGUGAAGGCGAGGAGGAAGGCGGAGGAGAAGAGACUAGCGAGGCUGGAGAGGGAAAUGCUGGAGGAGGAAGAACGGAAGCAGCGUGAGGAGAUGGCAAAGCUAGUAGAGGAACGGAGGAGGCUGAGGGAUGAGAAGGCAGAGGCUGAGGAGCGGUCCAAAAGCGCUACCCCUGUUGGGGAGAAGGAUGCUAGGAGGGAGGCAGAGAGGUGGCGGCAGGAGAGGAGGAAGAAAGAGGACAAGGGGUCCAGCAAGAGCAAUUCAGAUUGUGAGGACAUUGAUAGAAGAUUGGGCCGCGAAGGUGAUAGGAAGCGAGAAUUUGACAGAAAGACUGACUUGGACAAGCGUGAAGGUUAUAAGCCUUAUUACUCGGAACCUAACAGCCAUACUAAUAAGACUGUGGAGAGCAGAACAAAGUACUUUGGUCGUAUGACGGGUGGUUUCUUAUCUUCUUCAAGAGGGUUUGGCAGUGGUUCCUUCUUUGGCAGAAGUGCUCAGGCCCCUGCACCUCAAGUUAACAAGGUUAGUAGACCUGUAGUUCCUGCAACUGACCAGGGUAAUGCACUCAAAAGAGAAACCCAGCAUACAGCCACUCAAGCUACAGCCAAAUCCGCUACAGCUGGAGAAACCAGAAAUUCGUGGGCUAAUUUUAAUCGACCUGUUAGUCCAAAUGUGCAGCCACACCCUACCAGCCUUAAAAAGUCAUGGCAUCAGCUGUUUAGUGGUUCAGCAUCAGUGUCCCCUUGUCCUGAUGUUACAACUUCAGAUCGUGAUAUGAAUCGGAAGCCAGAACCAAAUGGAGCACAGAUAAGCAAUGCUCAUAUAUUUGUGUCUCAGUAUCCUCCUCUGGAAAGCAAGCCAUGUUCAAGCCAGUCCAUGCAAUUUCCAGGUUUCCCACCGCUUAAUGGAGCAUCCCCCAUUAAGCCAUUACCUCAUUUUCCUGCUGGACACAUGCCCUUCUAUGAUGAUGCAGAAUCCACAGUAUUUGAAGAACCAGAACAAUUUGAAGACCCAUGCUAUGAUCCAGAUGCAAUUGCAUUACUUGGGCCAGUUUCAGAGUCUCUAGAUAACUUCCCUUCGGACUUAGAUUGUGGGUUCAUCUCAAGUGAUGUCAGCAAGGAAUCGCAUGGGAGGCCUUCACCCAUCGAGUCUCCUCUCUCAAGAUCUCGAACAGUUGAAGAGAAGCCUAUUAAGCCCCCACACUCAUCAGUCACAAAAGGGCCUGGUGGUUCCAUUUUGCCUGAGGCUAGCAGUGAACAAGGCACUUGGCAAAUGUGGAGCACGCCAUUGGUUCAGGAAACUUUAGGUCUGCAAGGUCCUCAGAGUCAGUGGCUUCGACAACACACAAAUCAAUUUAACCAUAGUGUCAAUCUUUUCAACAGUGGAACAGAAAGCUCCCUGAGUACUGGUUCGAAUGACAAUGAUCCAUGGCUGCAGAAAGCACCCUUUCAGCAACUGCCCCCUGAUACACCAAGCCUGUUUCUUCCACAUGAAGUACAAGGAAAAGCUAUACACAAUGACUUGGUUUUUGGGUCUUCAAACAAAUCAGCCCGUGAACACCCCUUCGGGCCGCCUGGCCAUUCUUGGCCUAAGAAGUAGUUUUGAGGUGGAUAAAUAGAGUGAACACAGGAUUUUACAAUAUCAAGGUCCCUUGUUGCAUAAAAGCUCUGUAAAGGUGCUCUGAUGGAAGAAGAGGCAGUUGAGUCCAAGUAAUAUGGAUGAGUCUAGUUAGGAUACUAUACUUUGUGUCUAGAGACUAUGGAUGAUUCGAGACAAGGCCUGAUGGGGUCUCCAGUAGUAUCCCAUGUCCCCCUGAUCACAUCUGCAGGAGAGACAUCCAUGUAAUCUGCUAGUGGGCUGCUGCCCAUAUCAAAAUGUGGCUCAGGGGAGCAUGGAAAAAAUCUUGUACUCAGUUUUCUUAGCAUGACCGAUUUAUUUUGAGUUAGGUUGGAAUACUCAGGUAGUAUUACUGUGAUUAUCAGAUUCCUAGUUCCUAAAGGCCAGGCUGUGUGCAGGACUGAGGUACUCGACCUUUCAGCAGCCCCUAGCUGAUGGAAACUUAGCAGAAGUGCAGAACUAAAUGAGACAUGUUUGUGUUAUAGAAAGGAGGAACUGGUGCUGAAUGGAGCUCAGGAAGCAACGCGUAUAUCAUCCCCGCCUUGUGCACAUGUUGGUGGUGGAGGCUUAUUUUCCUCAACAAGUCCUGAUGUACAGUCAGUGUGGUCCUUCAAUGAAAAAGAGACAGCAUAGAACGAACUUUGAUUAUAUAGAGGGAACGCAAUGUCGAGCCAAGACUUCCUUGCCUCCUCCUUGCAGUGAUGUAGGGGUUAGUGAGGAGAUAAGCUGGUGGAUUGUGUUCCUUGAUGCAAAAGUAUGAUGAUUUUGUUAAGUAGCACUCACCUCACCAAUUAACAUGCGCUCAUGCAUUGCAUUAGGCCUC